GCCAUUUUCUCACGAUUCCUCUCUCCUCUCUCACUUCACUCGACGCGUUCUCCAAUAAACCGCACGACGACGUCUUCCGUCCGGCGACAUCCUCCACUCCGAUGAGGUCCUACAAUACGGCGAGCAGGUACGUAAUCUUCCUCAAAACUUGAUUGGAAGCCCUUUUUUUUUUUUGGUAUUUUAGGGCAUCUUGUUCUUGCUUUCACACUUUCUAAAAUCAGAAUCAAGAAGGGGUUUCGCCCAAUUUCAAGCUAAUGUUAUUUUUGCUUAAAAAUCUGUCAGAAGAAGUUGAUUACAGUACUUUUAGUAUUUUUUAUUAGGUAAUGUAGUAAUUUCAGUAUAUGCUUUAGUCAAAUAGUAAAUAAUGAAUAUUAUUAUUUUUUUAAGGCAUUUAUGAUUUUUUCCCUUUGUGUUAAGGUUUAUUGUUGAGAUGUGUUUCUGUUUGGGUUUGGGUUUGGGUUUGGGUUUGGGUUUGGGUUGUUAUUUGAGGUUUAAGCUUGCGCUUCAAUUAGGGGAUCGGGUUCACGAUUGGGACUGUGCUUUGGUUUGGUUGGGUUUGGGUUUAGAAUUGUCCUUGUGAAACUGAUAAUCUUGCAUCUUUUUAAUUUAUUGGCCGUCCGUCGGAUUUUGGGCUUAUUUAACGAUUGCUUAAGUAUUAUAAAGUUAUGGGAAUUCAUCGAGGAUAAAUUGAUUUAAUAUUGCCUUGCAUCGUUCUUAACUUGUAGAUGAUGAGUGUAGUGACUGAUGAAUUUUAUUGUGCAAAAUUGCCAAUUUUGUUGGUCUCUCCUUUAGGUUGCUGAGUAAUGGCUUAGAUAUGGUUAGAGCUUAAAAUAUAUCCAUAAGUUUGGAUUUGUUUCAGCCUUUAUUUAACCAUGACUUUGACUAUUGUUUAUUUAGAUUCACGAUAGAGAUACUUAUCUGGAGCUUUAAAGCUUAUGAGAGUAUGUGACUGUAUACAGACUCUGCAGAUUGGACGGAAAAGAUGAAGGGAAAAUUGGAAAACUAUUCAUCCAAGUGUCUAUUUUUUAGCUGAAAGCAUUGCAACUGCUCUCUCAUUGGGAAAGUUUAUUUGCAUGUUCUGCUCCUCUGAGUUCCUCUUCUGGAGCUUCUAGUGCUAUAAAAUUAUAAUAUGAAGGCAACUUAGAUUGAUUGAUUUGCCUUUUUCUUGUCAUUCUAGCUAAAAAAAAUAUGCAUGCCAAAAGGAAGCAUGUUUUCCUCAUCGUAAGGUUUACGUCAAUUAGUUAAGAAGUUUUCAUGGUGUAACUAUGGCCGAAUCCUUUCUAUGGGGGCAUGAUUUGGAUUGAAACUUAUUCUGCUGGGAUCUUUUGUUUGAUGACCAGAUUAUUGUUUUCAUCUCUUUCUGUCAUUUAAUCGUCGUGUCAGACAAUUUCGAAUAACUUUAGGCUAUUACUGGGAUAUGUUUUAGAGGGCUAUUAUGUUUAGGUUUGGUGAACAAGAAUUAUGGUAAUGUUCGCCUAUAAUGUUCACCAAUGCAGAUGUUCAAUAACAGUGGGUCAGUUAGUUUUGGCAGUGGGCUGGAGAAAUUUUGUCACCCCACGUUAUAACAAGUCAAACCAAUUUGGAGGCAUGAAAUAUUCAACUCGUACGAGAACUAAUAGUACUGUGUAGCACUAAGAAAGAAAAAUAAUCUAAAUUUCUGUUCAUUAUUCUUAUUCUAUUAUUCUAUUGCAUCUCAUCCAAUACAAUGUACAAGAAUUAUGAGCUGAUGAAUUUUAAUGCAUUACUGAAUCAGUUUUCUUUCCUUGUGAUGUCAACUUAUUUGAUUUUCUAUAUGGAAUUUGUGGUUAUAUUUUGGUUAAGUGGUUAAUAAUUAUUUAUUAUCUUCAUUAGAGAACAUAGGUGGUCAUAGUGGUAAGAAUAUGGAAACAAUGUCUUGGUCCGAUCAGAACGAACACGUUUUUAUCGGAAUACUUUACGAUAACGUGAAAGCAGGGAAGUUGCAUUGUUCUACGUUCACAAAAGACGAUUGGGGCAAGAUCAAUCAAGAGAUGAUUGUUGCCACAAAAUCAGAUUACGGGAUAGAGAGAUUGACGGGUAAGUGGAAUCGUUUACGUAAGGUACAUCGCUUGUUCUCUUACCGUUUAGGGCAUACGGGUGUUACAUGGGAUCCAAAUAUACCAACCAAGUGAAUGCUACAGAAGAAGUUUGGAAACAUUUUUUUACGAUAAACAAGAGCGACCAUAAGACAUUUAGGAGGGAAGGAUGUAAGCAUUACGAAUUGCUUGCAGAGAUUUUUAGCGGGACUACAGCUAUUGGAGGUCUAGGCCAUGCUUCUACUUAGCUUCCUCCAACUUCAGAGGCAGAAAGACGGCUAGAAGAUGAGUUUUUGAGCAGGGGAGUGCAUGUACAUGUGGAGAAUGAUGACGAUGAAGUUUCAAAUAUUCGUCGACGUGAUGAUGCUAUACCUAACAAACGUCGACGUAAGGAACCCAAAAUCGGUAAAGGAGAAAAACUUGAGGAAUUUAUGACUCAAUGGUCAUCUACUGUUAGUAUGAGGAAUGAGGAAACAGAACUAAGGAUUCUAUACAUGAAAGAAAAGCUUGCACACAUCCAAGAAAAAUCAUCUAAUCACGAGGGCGCUAGUGAAGUCACUAGUCCAUAUCCUUAUUCAAAUAUGGCGUGUUUGAACAUCUUAAACAACAUGGAAGGAGUGUGUAACGAGGUUUAUAUAAAAGCAAUAAAGGCUUUUAAGGAUCUAGAUUUCAGAAUGACAUUUAUAAUGAUGCCAGAAAUUAGGAGAGGACUUAUCUUGGAACUUCUUUGAUUUGCCUAAUUGGUCGGAUUGAGUAUUUUGAACUUAUAAUGUAUGAUUAUGUUCUUUUUAUAUAUUGACUAUGAACUUUGUAAUUUCAACAUUUACUAGUAGUUUUAUUUUUAUCAAUGUAGAUUUUGGUA